rnacentral:lncRNA from 1 species
CGAGGCGAGGAAGAGGAAGAAGACGAAGGCCAAAAGCGGCGGGGGGGGGCUGAAGAAAUCCAAAGCCGACAGCUGCGGGCAGAGCGGGACCCCCCCCCAGCAAAGCGCUUCGAGAGCCGGAGGUCCCGUAGAGACUCAUUGGUCGGGUUCGGAGAAAUCGGGGGGCAGCCCGAAACCCCCCAGCCCUAAAACGGCCCCCCCGGGAAGCAAAGGGACGGCGGCGGCGGCGACCGAAAGCGAAGUGACUCCGGAUUCGCAGACGGUGGACAGCAGCUGUAAAACCCCCGACGUGUCCUUCCUCGAGGAGGAGGAGGAGGAGUCGUCGGGGGGGGGCGGAAAGAGAAGCGCCCCCUUCCCCCCCAGCGCCGCCCCGCGUGGGAACCCGAAGCCGACAGCCGCAGUGGGGGAGAAGGAGGGCCC